AACAAAUGGUACACUGAGCCGACACUAUACUUUUCCUUACAUUAAGCUAAGAUAAACUGCUCUUGAACUGUGCGCUGAAUGUCUGCCUGGAGCAAGAUCUGGAAUGGGAGUCAUAGGCACCAGCGAGUGCUUUCCAAAACGCUCCGGAUCAGGGAACACCUUUCUGACGAUUAAGAGAGGAAGGGACCCCCCCUCACUCCCCCCUCAAUGUGUCCUUGCAGCUCAUCAGGGCCACCGAGUUGGAAAAGUAUCUUUCUUGAAAUGUAAGUUUCUAUCUAGUUGAGAAGCUGUUAAUAAUCUACACGUGACAUAUAUGCAUCUAUAAGACCGUGAAUCUUCUGGCUAUGGGCACAUUUGGGCCUCAUUUUCCUGAACACAGAGGUUGGAAAUGGGUGCAAAAAAAAUGCAUGAGGAAGAAGUGUUACUGUUUGAUGUUCACGCAGUGGGUCCACCUGCCAAUGGAUCUGUCACAAAGAGUGCAAAGAGAUCAAAAUGACUGUUUGUAUGCUGCUUAAAACUUCUGAUUCAUCG